AGAGUGUUAUGAUGUUGGAAAUUAAUUUUUCCGAGUCUAGCUCGGUGCUGGUCCUCUAGUUUUUUAACUAGAGGGC
rfam:Vagococcus fluvialis bH819 genome assembly, contig: Scaffold13